UAAGGAAUAUUGGUCAAUGGACGGAAGUCUGAACCAGCCAUGCCGCGUGAAGGAUUAAGGUCCUCUGGAUUGUAAACUUCUUUUAUUUGGGACGAAAAAAGGGCAUUCUUGCUCACUUGACGGUACCAUUUGAAUAAGCACCGGCUAACUCCGUGCCAGCAGCCGCGGUAAUACGGAGGGUGCAAGCGUUAUCCGGAUUCACUGGGUUUAAAGGGUGCGUAGGCGGGUAGGUAAGUCAGUGGUGAAAUCUCGAAGCUUAACUUCGAAACUGCCAUUGAUACUAUUUAUCUUGAAUAUUGUGGAGGUUUGCGGAAUAUGUCAUGUAGCGGUGAAAUGCUUAGAUAUGACAUAGAACACCUAUUGCGAAGGCAGCAGGCUACACAUAUAUUGACGCUGAGGCACGAAAGCGUGGGGAUCAAACAGG
rnacentral:rRNA from 1 species